UACGUAGGGGGCAAGCGUUGUCCGGAAUCAUUGGGCGUAAAGCGCACGUAGGCGGCCGACUAAGUCGGGUGUGAAAGCCCAGGGCUCAACCCUGGAAGUGCACUCGAAACUGGCCGGCUUGAAUAUGGAAGAGGGUCGCGGAAUUCCCGGUGUAGAGGUGAAAUUCGUAGAUAUCGGGAGGAACACCAGUGGCGAAGGCGGCGACCUGGGCCAAUAUUGACGCUGAGGUGCGAAAGCGUGGGGAGCAAACAGG
rnacentral:rRNA from 1 species